rnacentral:rRNA from 1 species
UACGGAGGGAGCAAGCGUUACUCGGAAUUAUUGGGCGUAAAGGGCGCGUAGGCGGUCUUGUAAGUCCUGUGUGAAAUCCCCGGGCCUAACCCGGGAAGUGCACGGGAUACUGUGGGACUUGAGUGCAGGAGAGGGAAGCAGAAUUCCCGGUGUAGCGGUGAAAUGCGUAGAUAUCGGGAGGAAUACCAGCGGCGAAGGCGGCUUCCUGGACUGCUACUGACGCUGAGGCGCGAAAGCCAGGGGAG